CCCUUAGAUGUUCUGGGCCGCACGCGCGCCACACUGAUGAAUUCAACGAGCCUAGCCUUGUCCGAAAGGUCCGGGUAAUCUCUGAAACUUCAUCGUGAUGGGGAUAGAUCAUUGCAAUUAUUGAUCUUCAACGAGGAAUUCCUAGUAAGCGCAAGUCAUCAGCUUGCGUUGAUUACGUCCCUGCCCUUUGUACACACCGCCCGUCGCUUGUACCGAUUGGAUGGUCCGGUGAAAUCUUCGGAUAGCUGGUAGUUGGCUUGCCAUCUACUGCUAAAAGUUGCUUAAACCUUAUCAUCUAGAGGAACAAGAAGUCGUAACA
rnacentral:rRNA from 1 species